CGAGACAGAGACCACCAGUGGCUUCUUCCAGAACAUAGUCCAUAGAUCAAUGACGUCAGGCAACACGUGGGAGCGCAAGAGGGCCCUGCAGACCUGCUCCCAGCUGCUGGCUGUUUGUGAAGAGCGUGGAAGAGGAGACGCCUGCAAGCACUUUGGCUCCUUGGUGGGAUUGCUGGUGCCUCUGAUGUGUGACCCCAUGCCCACCUCCCGCCAGUUGGCUGUCACCUGUCUGAGCUCCCUUCUCCAAAUCCAAGCCAAGGCGACCAACAGAGUCAUCCAGACAGGAGACAUCGGGAGCCUGUGUGAGGGGCUGAAUGACCGCAGCACCGUCUGUCAGCUCCAGACCGCUUCCAAAAUCGCGCGGAUUGUGUGCAGAAGCUUCUCCCUGGAACACACCAUAGAUUUCAUGAUGGCCAUCAAGGACACCUUCCGGAAGGCCAAAGGAAUGCGUGUGCGUGCUGCUGGGAAGUGGAUGAUCACCUUUCUGCAGAUGCAUGGAAAGGACAUCUGUCG
ensembl:lncRNA